UUAGAUUAACUGGAGUAAAACGGGCGAAAUGAUUCUGGUGUGUAGUUUUGUCCUAUUUCAUACACCAAAAUCGUUUCUCCUGUUUAUUUCAGUUAAGCACG